UCGGGAAUUUUGGGCAAUGGGCGAAAGCCUGACCCAGCAACGCCGCGUGAAGGAUGAAGUAUUUCGGUAUGUAAACUUCGUAAGAAUAGGAAGAAUAAAUGACGGUACUAUUUGUAAGGUCCGGCUAACUACGUGCCAGCAGCCGCGGUAAUACGUAGGGACCAAGCGUUGUUCGGAUUUACUGGGCGUAAAGGGCGCGUAGGCGGUGUGUCAAGUCAGUUGUGAAAUCUCCGAGCUUAACUCGGAACGGUCAACUGAUACUGUCACACUAGAGUACAGAAGGGGCAAUCGGAAUUCUUGGUGUAGAGGUGAAAUUCGUAGAUAUUAGAAGGAACACCGGUGGCGAAGGCGGCUAUCUGGACGACAACUGACGCUGAGGCGCGAAAGCGUGGGGAUCAAACAGGAUUAGAUACCCUCGUAGUCCCUGAGCGGGCUGGCAAGGCGCAU
rnacentral:rRNA from 1 species